GAUGAACGCUGGCGGCGUGCCUAAUACAUGCAAGUCGAGCGAAUGGAUUAAGAGCUUGCUCUUAUGAAGUUAGCGGCGGACGGGUGAGUAACACGUGGGUAACCUGCCCAUAAGACUGGGAUAACUGCGGGAAACUGUAGCUAAUACCGGAUACGACCCUCGGAGGCAUCUCCUGGGGGUGGAAAGAAUUUCGGUCAAGGAUGGACUCGCAGCCUAUCAGCUAGUUGGUGAGGUAAAGGCUCACCAAGGCGACGACGGGUAGCCGGCCUGAGAGGGUGACCGGCCACACUGGGACUGAGACACGGCCCAGACUCCUACGGGAGGCAGCAGUGGGGAAUCUUCCGCAAUGGACGAAAGUCUGACGGAGCAACGCCGCGUGAGUGAUGAAGGCUUUCGGGUCGUAAACCUCUUUCACCAUUGACGAAGCUGCAUCUUUUUGGGUGUGGUGACGGUAGGUGGGGAAGAAGCACCGGCCAACUACGUGCCAGCCGCCGCCGUAA
rnacentral:rRNA from 1 species